UCUCUCUCUCCGUGGGCUUGCAGGCAGGGUACGAAGACCUGAAAUGCCUCAACCACUGCAACGUAAUUAGCACGCAUAAGAGAAAUAUAAUAGGAAACUUUUAAGGAGUUUCUAAGUUCGCAUAUCAAGCGUGGUCUUCUCUCAAAGCUUCAUGCUAUGGAUAAGUUCUAAAAAGCAGGAUAGAAAAGUUAUAGUAGUCAUCGUGCUAGCUAGCAUUUUGCUGGCCAAAUAUUUGAUUCAUCAGUAUUCAGCAUCUUGAACGCAAGUAGUCUGAGGAUUCCGUGAUACAGAUAUCAUGAUAUUAAGACUCCAUUGACUGAAACUUCGCCAUAUUAAACUGCAUGGCAUAAAUCAUUUCCAGGCAGUGAAUUAUUUCACAUUUAUACGUAAACCAUAUAUUUUCGCUUGAUUUUUGGAGCAUUAUUCGCCAUUUAAUGUGAUAAGGAACCGAAUACGGAAUUCAAACUUAGUUUUAAAGUAAUCACAAGCCGUGUUCGUUACAGGUGCUUAUUUAUGCAAGAGGCCCUUUUAUUCUAGCAAAUGUCGGCGUACAAAAUGGAUGGUUUGAGCACUAUUCAAUCAUAAACUUAUUGUUCGUUUGCAAAUAUCAAAUAUCGUUUCACCCAAUAUGUGGACAGGUUAGUGUUAUGAACGCAGGGAAUUGUCUUCUGGCCCACCACCUACAUCAACUCAUUUCCACUUUAAGAGAAAUAUGGUAAACAGAAGAAAAAUAAUGCCGUAUGACCGCUCUCUCGUCCGGUAUUUUACCCAGGGGUGAACUGCUGAUUACUUUAGAAUAAUGAAUAAUUUGAGUAAAUUCAUAGUUAAGAUUAGUUUAAGAAAGUAAGAAUUGUAAAAAUAAAGAAGGCCUUUUCUUUCUUGCGUGAGAGUAUAUAAAAAAACCAAUGAUCUAAGAUAUAUAAUUAAGCUAAAACAAGGAUGCUGCCCGUAUGUUGGGAUGAAGAAUCAAUGACAUGUGAGUGAAAUUAAUUGCUAUUAUCUGCAAACUUAUGGAGGUUUUAUUUCUUUUAUUUUUUAUUUAUUUAUUUAUUUAUUUUACGAUUUAGUAAGCAUCAGUCUUGAGGUACGUACCCACAUGUUUCUUGAGACUUAUUGAUUGAUUGGAGAUCAUCAGGCGUCAUAACUACCCGGGUUAUCGAGAAUUCGCGGCUUUCUACCUCCUUAUCGUGUAGGUCUUUUUUUUUUCUUUUACAUUGCUUGGUUAACAGUACGUCGUCUUUUGAAAGCUUAAAACUUUCAAGAAUGUUUUUUUAUUCCUUUUUCGUUAUUGUAUAGUGCAGUUCUCGGGGUAUGUCGUCUUUCAGAAACUCGAGACGUUCUUUUUUUUUUUUUACUGAUUGCAAUUAUCAGUUCUUGAGAUCUAGUUUACUUCCUUUCGUGUUUUUCGUUAAUAGAGCUUUCACAUUCCAUUAAGAUAUACCAUUCCUAUUUAUUGUAAAUAAUUGUAGAAAUCUUUGUUACCGUUAAGUGGGUGGGUUAUUUUAAGUUUUUAAUUUUUCCUUUGAUUUUAUUUAUACGUAAUCUGUAUAUAUACAUAUGUAUAUAUAUAUAUAUAUAUAUAUAUAUAUAUAUAUAUAUAUGUAUCUUUUUUGUACAUAAUGUUCAGAUAUGCUCACCUGUACAUAUCAGUGAUUAACUUUUAAGUAUGCAUAUUUUAUGCAGUGUAGAAUUAAUGUUAAUAGGUUGAGUCUUGUAGUAUAAAGCCAAGAAAGCAGAACGUUUAUUUCAAGUUUUCUGCAUUGGAGUGUGUAUAAUCAUAAAAUAUCAUCAAUGACAUGUAUAUACACAUGACUUAAGUCUCAGUAUUAUCUAUAUCAGUGAAAUGUGUGAGUCAGAGGUUAUCCAACUAGGACAAGAAAGCAAUGCAAUUCAUAAAAUAAAAAAAAAAAAUCCAUAUGGAACCGUCAAUUCAAAAGCUGUGAUAACAUUUACAAAAGAGCUUAAGAACAAAAAUAAAAUGGAUAGUCGACAUACU